ACAUGCAAGUCGAGGGGCAUCACAUGAAGCAGCAAUGCGGAUGGUGGCGACCGGCGCACGGGUGAGUAACACGUAUGCAACCUGCCUACAACAGGGGGAUAACCCGUUGAAAGACGGACUAAUACCCCAUAAUACAGGGGUCCCGCAUGGGAAUAUUUGUUAAAGAUUAAUCGGUUGUAGAUGGGCAUGCGUUCCAUUAGCUAGUUGGUGAGGUAACGGCCCACCAAGGCAACGAUGGAUAGGGGAACUGAGAGGUUUAUCCCCCACACUGGUACUGAGACACGGACCAGACUCCUACGGGAGGCAGCAGUGAGGAAUAUUGGUCAAUGGACGCAAGUCUGAACCAGCCACGUCGCGUGAAGGAAGACGGCCCUACGGGUUGUAAACUUCUUUUGUAAGG
rnacentral:rRNA from 1 species